UUUGUCUAACUAUAAAAGGUCAAGCCUGCCCAGUGACAUUGUUCAACGGCCGCGGUAUUCUAACCGUGCGAAGGUAGCGUAAUCACUUGUUUUUUAAAUGAGGACUAGUAUGAAUGGCUUCACGAAGGCUAUACUGUCUCCCUUAUCUAAUCAGUUAAACUAAUCUUCCCGUGAAGAAGCGGGAAUAAGCCUAUAAGACGAGAAGACCCUAUGGAGCUUUAAACACUUUCAAACAUUUGAUAUUUAACAUUUUUAACUUUCAGUAAAACUUCAUUAAACCCAUCAAUUUGUUCUAAGUUUUAGGUUGGGGUGACCACGGAGAACAACCAAACCUCCACGUAGAAAGAAUCUCUCUCUAAGCAAAAAGCUACAGCUUUACGCAUCAAAAUACUGACCUUAAUUGACCCAAUUCUUUGAUCAACGAAC
rnacentral:rRNA from 1 species